GUCUACAGCCAUGCUACCCUGAACACGUCGGAUCCCGACUGAUCUUGGAAACUAAGCAGGGUUGGGCUUGGUUAGUACUUGGAUGGGAGACCACCUAGGAAGACCAGGUGCUGUAGGUG
rfam:Pteropus alecto contig94779, whole genome shotgun sequence.